UUUGGGGGCUUGACUCCUAAUGGUUCAGGAGCAUCCGUCCCCAGGGAGCCCCUCCUACCCAUGGAAUGAUUCCCAAGUACGACUUCUCUUGCUUUGCGCCACCUGUGAGCGCCCGCCAUCCCCAUGCUCAGACCCAGGCUGGGUUUUUGGGGACCCGGAGGACGAAAGCCAUAGGAAUGCCACCCUGCUCCGAGCUUUUCCCAACUCUGGCUCUGAUGUGGUUUGCAGGCCAAGUUAAUGCCCCUGUUUCCACAACAUCACUUCCUCUGCAGCGUGAGAAAAGAGGAAGAAAACUCGCUCUGUGACUCUCCUCUUCCCCCAGGGAAAGCACAAAGCUGUUGGAAACAAUAAAAGCAGCCCUGUGUAAAGGGGAGACUUUUGUCUGUGCAGUCAGGGGUUGCUGCGCCCGCGACUUCCUGCAGGGACAUUCGGCAGCUUUGCAGAUAAAUAAAUGCUCACAUGCAGAAUGACCAGCCUAGAACACUUCUAUGAGUCUUUUCUCCUCCCCAGGCUGUACACAGAUAAUAAAUCAUAUUAGCGUCCUGAACCUCUGGUUCAGCAUCACUUGUCACCGGUUCCCCCUGCACGAGGGGAGUAGGACAGCCCAGAGCACCAGCGGCAGCUCUCCCAAUGGCAGAUACGGUCCCGCUGCCCAGCAUCUCGGAGCUGUUGGUUGAGGUAGAUGACUGCCUUCCAAGAGAUGUGACCUCACAGCUGGUGAGGGCUGGGACUCUGGAACACGCUGCACAGACGCACGGAUCAUGGUGUUCCUUAUGUGGUCUG